ACGGGGAGCAGCAGGCGCGAAACCUCUGCAAUGGGCGAAAGCCUGACAGGGUUACUCUGAGUGAUUUCCGCUAAGGGAAUCUUUUGGCACCUCUAAAAAUGGUGCAGAAUAAGGGGUGGGCAAGUCUGGUGUCAGCCGCCGCGGUAAUACCAGCACCCCGAGUGGUCGGGACGAUUAUUGGGCCUAAAGCAUCCGUAGCCGGUCUUACAAGUCUUCCGUUAAAUCCACCUGCUUAACAGAUGGGCUGCGGAGGAUACUAUAAGGCUAGGAGGCGGGAGAGGCAAGCGGUACUCAGUGGGUAGGGGUAAAAUCCUCUGAUCCAUUGAAGACCACCAGUGGCGAAGGCGGCUUGCCAGAACGCGCUCGACGGUGAGGGAUGAAAGCUGGGGGAGCAAACCGGAUUAGAUACCCGGGUAGUCCCAGCUGUAAACGAUGCAGACUCGGUGAUGGGCCGGCUUUAUGCCAGCUCAGUGCCGCAGGGAAGCCGUUAAGUCUGCCGCCUGGGGAGUACGGUCGCAAGACUGAAACUUAAAGGAAUUGGCGGGGGAGCAC
rnacentral:rRNA from 1 species